rnacentral:rRNA from 1 species
AACUACCAAAGGUCUGGGAUAACUCCGGGAAACUGGGGAUAAUACCGGAUAGGUCAAGAGUACUGGAAGGGUUUUUUGAUUGAAAGCUCUGGCGCCUUUGGAUGGGUCUGCGGCUGAUUAGGUUGACGCCGGUGUAAAGUACCGGCGUGCCGAUUAUCAGUACGGGUUGUGGGAGCAAGAGCCCGGAGAUGGAUUUUGAGACAGGAAUCCAGGCCCUACGGGGCGCAGCAGGCGCGAAAACUCUACAAUGCAGGCAACUGCGAUAGGGGAACAUCGAGUGGCAUCUAACAUUAGGUGUCUGUCCAGCUGUCUAAAAAACGGCUGUUAGCAAGGGCCGGGCAAGACCGGUGCCAGCCGCCGCGGUAAUACCGGCGGCUCGAGUGGUGGCCGAUAUUAUUGAGUCUAAAGGGUCCGUAGCCGGCUUUGCAAGUCUUGUGGGAAAUCCAGCGGCUUAACCGUUGGGCGUCUGCGGGAUACUACAUUGCUUGGGACUGGGAGAGGUAGGAGGUACUCAGGGGGUAGGAGUGAAAUCCUGUAAUCCUCUGGGGACCACCGGUGGCGAAGGCGUCCUACCAGAACAGGUCCGACGGUGAGGGACGAAAGCUAGGGGCACGAACCGGAUUAGAUACCCGGGUAGUCCUAGCCGUAAACGAUGCCCGCUAGGUGUCACGGCAGUCGUGAACUGCCGUGGUGCCGUAGGGAAGCCGUGAAGCGGGCCACUUGGAAGUACGACCGCAAGUUGAAACUUAA